rnacentral:sRNA from 1 species
UUUAAAAAAUCGGAUCCAUUAAGCGGUGAAGUAGAUUUGGCGGACAAUGCAGACAUAAAACGGAUUAGACGGUAUUUAGGCGCGUUUAGGCGGGAUAGAUGAGAUAAGCGAAUCUAAAUGUAUCUUAUUAUUUUUGAAAUUUUUUA